GACAGCAGCCGCCGCGGUAAUACGAGGGGGGCUAGCGUUGCUCGGAAUGACUGGGCGUAAAGGGCGCGUAGGCGGAUUGUUUAGUUAGGCGUGAAAUUCCUGGGCUUAACCUGGGGACUGCGCUUAAUACAGGCAGUCUAGAGUGAGGAAGAGGGUUGUGGAAUUCCCAGUGUAGAGGUGAAAUUCGUAGAUAUUGGGAAGAACACCGGUGGCGAAGGCGGCAACCUGGUCCUUGACUGACGCUGAGGCGCGAAAGCGUGGGGAGCAAACAGGAUUAGAUACCCGCGUAGUCCCUGUCUCUUAUAC
rnacentral:rRNA from 1 species